GCCGCCAUCGCUCAGUGGUAGAGCACAGGUUUGCUAAACCUGCCGGUUUCCGGUCCAGGGUUCGAUUCCCUGUGGCGGCG
rnacentral:tRNA from 1 species